UACGGGGGGGGCAAGCGUUGUUCGGAAUUACUGGGCGUAAAGGGCUCGUAGGCGGCCAACUAAGUCAGACGUGAAAUCCCCCGGCUUAACCUGGGAACUGCGUCUGAUACUGGAAGGCUUGAGUAUGGGAGAGGGAUGUAGAAUUCCAGGUGUAGCGGUGAAAUGCGUAGAUAUCUGGAGGAAUACCGGUGGCGAAGGCGGCAUCCUGGACCAUUACUGACGCUGAGGCGCGAAAGCUAGGGGAGCAAACGGG
rnacentral:rRNA from 1 species